rnacentral:rRNA from 1 species
UACGGGGGGGGGCAAGCGUUGUUCGGAAUUACUGGGCGUAAAGGGCGCGUAGGCGGUCAGAUAAGUCAGCUGUGAAAACCUCGGGCUUAACUCGAGGCCUGCAGUUGAAACUGUCUGGCUGGAGUGUGGGAGAGGAGAGUGGAAUUCCUGGUGUAGCGGUGAAAUGCGCAGAUAUCAGGAAGAACACCCGUGGCUAAGGCGGCUCUCUAGUACGGUACUGACGCUGAGACGCGAAAGCGUGGGGAGCGAACAGG